UGGGGGAAUGAAGAGUAGAUAAAAUAUUGGUACCUGAUGAGUGUGAGGCCAGGUUUCAAUACUUUAUCUGCUCUUCAUUUUCCCAUAUCUACUUAC
rnacentral:pre_miRNA from 8 species